UGAGAUCAAGGCUAUAAAACCCUAUAAAAGAAGGAGUUGUAACCCAGUGCAUCUUUGAUCCAGGCACAGCUUAUGUGUGAUCGACCCUCACUGAUGACUCUUAGCCCCAGUACCAUUCCCCAAGGAUGUGGCUGAAUCCCAUGGAGGACUCUUUUGCCUGUUGAUGGUGUUAAUGGUGUCUACCCUUCUGCUGUCUUGGAUGUGACUUCAGAUGUUGCCUGCAGACAAAAUGUCACAUAAACAAGUUGACGAGAGUAGGAAACAUAUGGUGAAGUUGGUGCAUGCUGCUAAAUAUUCCCUAUGGCUUUGCUUUGUGAUGUGUUUGAAUUAACUGCCGUGUUUCUCAGACAUCAGUGGACAGGUGGCUCCUCAAACAAAGAGACUUUCCAGUUUGUGUUUUUAGCUUCUACUACUUCAUAAGAACAAGUGGAACUGGAAAUAAUAUGUGAGGCACAACUGAGAAGAGAUACAAUGUCCAUGUCAUAUUUUUGGAAAAAUGUUAGCUACGUACCUUAAUCGUUUUAGUUUGCCAAGAUGAUUCUCUUUUCUUUUUGAUGUGUUACUAACUUAGGAGGGAAAAUGUAAGUCUUUAAUAACUGGCACCUUGGUUAUUAGUGAUUAAUUGACACCCAGUUGAGAGGCAAGGGGCUCAGAAACUGGAAACGAUCAGGGAGAAAAUUAGCACAAAGGGGGUAAUUCUAGGAAAAGAAAUAGGAAGAAGGCAGUACUCUCAAUUUUACCCCAUUAUGAAUAUUUUCAGUGUGAUAUGCAAAUGCACUGGAUGAACUUCUAACUCCAUAAAACCAGUGCUCAGGUUAGAAAGGUCCAUCAGAAGGAGAUGGACAGUGGUGCCACCUCUGUGCUCCAGCCUCAAGGAACGUCUGUGCCAAUCAAACUUUUUAGUGUAACUCCAUGUUUCUUUGCUUCCGCAGUAACCCUCUUCAAAUCUGCAAACUCGAGUACAGUUUGGAAAAGUGCUGAGAGGCAACUAUUAGUCCUUAUGUGUAACACAAACAUUUAAUCUUUAUUGCCCUUUAUUUUUAAUAUCUUACUGGUGGGAAGAUGGAGGUGGUUAUCUAAGCAAAGAAGUAAAGGUAGCUGGUAUGUUGUUAAG